AUAACAACUAAACCUUAAUCCCAACUUAGUUGGGGUUAUAUGGAUUCUUUUUCGCCGUUCAACUCUGUUUGAAACCAAUACAAACCAAAUUUUGUAUUUUUUGAUAUUUCAUGUAAAUUAUUAAGUCACUGGUUUUUUUUCUCUAUUUCUCCAUUUGAUAAUAAUGCUUUGAAAAGUAUUUUUCUCUUUUUCUUUAGCUAUUCUAAGUUUAGGAGACCUAGAUUUUACAGUACCUCUUUCUAGAAGUGCAAAGUAUUCUCUUUGAGAUGCUAUACUUUAUUUAGAGAGAGACAGAUAAGUUGUGAUAGUUAACAUCCUUUGAGUCCUAAAGAAAUUUUGAGAACUUUUGAGAACUAUUUUUAUGGGUACACAUGAAGCCAUCUAUAUAUUUAUGAAGGUGA
rnacentral:misc_RNA from 1 species